rnacentral:rRNA from 1 species
AAUGAACGUUGGCGGCGUGGAUUAGGCAUGCAAGUCGUGCGGGAGUAGCAAUACUCCAGCGGCGAAAGGGAUAGGAACACGUGGGUAACGUACCCCUGAACCCGGGAUAGCUACGGGAAACUGUAGGUAAUACCGGAUAAUGUCUGCGGACCAAAGGUGUGAUUCCGUUCAGGGAGCGGCCCGCGUCCUAUUAGCUAGUUGGCAGGGUAACGGCCUACCAAGGCAAAGAUGGGUAGCGGGUGUGAGAGCAUGACCCGCAUCACUGGGACUGAGAUACUGCCCAGACACCUACGGGUGGCUGCAGUCGAGGAUCUUCGGCAAUGGGCGAAAGCCUGACCGAGCGACGCCGCGUGCGGGAUGAAGGCCUUCGGGUUGUAAACCGCUGUCAGUGGGGUGGAAGGCUCCGUGAAGAACGGGGUUUGACCUAUCCGCAGAGGAAGUACGGGCUAAGUUCGUGCCAGCCGCCGCGGUAACAC